CCGGGGCGGCGGCCUACCAUGCAGUCGAGCGAGAUCUUCGGAUCUAGCGGCGGACGGGUGAGUAACGCGUGGGAACGUGCCCUUCUCUACGGAAUAGUCCCGGGAAACUGGGUUUAAUACCGUAUACGCCCUUCGGGGGAAAGAUUUAUCGGAGAAGGAUCGGCCCGCGUUGGAUUAGGUAGUUGGUGGGGUAAUGGCCUACCAAGCCGACGAUCCAUAGCUGGUUUGAGAGGAUGAUCAGCCACACUGGGACUGAGACACGGCCCAGACUCCUACGGGAGGCAGCAGUGGGGAAUCUUAGACAAUGGGCGCAAGCCUGAUCUAGCCAUGCCGCGUGAGUGACGAAGGCCCUAGGGUCGUAAAGCUCUUUCACCAGGGAUGAUAAUGACAGUACCUGGAGAAGAAACCCCGGCUAACUCCGUGCCAGCAGCCGCGGUAAUACGGAGGGGGUUAGCGUUGUUCGGAAUUACUGGGCGUAAAGCGCGCGUAGGCGGGCUGUUAAGUCGGGGGUGAAAUCCCGGGGCUCAACCCCGGAACUGCCCUCGAUACUGGCAGCCUAG
rnacentral:rRNA from 1 species